GAUGAAGAACGUAGCGAAAUGCGAUAAGUAGUGUGAAUUGCAGAAUUCAGUGAAUCAUCGAAUCUUUGAACGCACAUGGCGCCUUCCAGUAUCCUGGGAGGCAUGCCUGUCCGAGCGUCGUUUCAACCCUCGAGCCCCCGUGGCCCGGCGUUGGGGAUCUGCCACGGCAGGCCCCUAAAACCAGUGGCGGACCCGAAGGCCCUCUCCUUUGCGCAGUAGCAUCAGCCUCGCAUUGGGAUCCCUCGGCGUCCUGCCUCUAAACCCCCCACAAGUCCGCUCCGGCGGCACCAAGGUUGACCUCGGAUCAGGUAGGAAUACCCGCUGAACUUAAGCAUAUCAAUAAGCGGAGGA
rnacentral:misc_RNA from 1 species